GCCGUGAAAACCUGCGGCUUAACCGUGGGCGUGCGGUGGAUACGGGCACACUUGAGUUCGGUAGGGGAGACUGGAAUUCCUGGUGUAGCGGUGGAAUGCGCAGAUAUCAGGAGGAACACCAGUGGCGAAGGCGGGUCUCUGGGCCGAAACUGACGCUGAGGAGCGAAAGCGUGGGGAGCGAACAGGAUUAGAUACCCUGGUAGUGCACGCCGUAAACG
rnacentral:rRNA from 1 species